UUGACCAAAGAACCAACAGCUAUGUGGAUG
rnacentral:piRNA from 1 species